UGACCUACUUAGAUAACCAAUACAUAUAGAGCUUUCGAAUGAUCCACGCUCUGGCGAUGGAAGAGAACAUCAGUUUUUCAAAAGAGCCAUCUAAGUGAUACAUAUGUGUGGAGGACAUCCUAAAUAAUAUCUUAAAUGCUUUAUUUACAAUGGUUAUGAUGUAUAACAAUUAAAAGGUUCAAAUAUAUUAAAACAUGCUGAUGAUUGCUUGAAAAUGAAAGGCAUCUUCUUGUGAUUGAUUAAUGGUAUAGAUACUUCUUCAUA